rnacentral:rRNA from 1 species
UAGGGAAUUUUUCACAAUGAGCGAAAGCUUGAUGGAGCAAUGCCGCGUGAACGAUGAAGGUCUUUAAGAUUGUAAAGUUCUUUUAUUUGGGAAGAAUGACUUUAGCAGGUAAUGGCUAGAGUUUGACUGUACCAUUUUGAAUAAGUGACGACUAACUAUGUGCCAGCAGUCGCGGUAAUACAUAGGUCGCAAGCGUUAUCCGGAUUUAUUGGGCGUAAAGCAAGCGCAGGCGGAUUGAAAAGUCUGGUGUUAAAGGCAGCUGCUUAACAGUUGUAUGCAUUGGAAACUAUUAAUCUAGAGUGUGGUAGGGAGUUUUGGAAUUUCAUGUGGAGCGGUGAAAUGCGUAGAUAUAUGAAGGAACACCAGUGGCGAAGGCGAAAACUUAGGUCAUUACUGACGCUUAGGCUUGAAAGUGUGGGGAGCAAAUAGGAUUAGAUACCCUAGUAGUCCACACCGUAAACGAUAGAUACUAGCUGUCGGGGCGAUCCCCUCGGUAGUGAAGUUAACACAUUAAGUAUCUCGCCUGGGUAGUACAUUCGCAAGAAUG